GAUGAACGCUAGCUACAGGCUUAACACAUGCAAGUCGAGGGGCAGCAUGAACUUAGCUUGCUAAGUUUGAUGGCGACCGGCGCACGGGUGAGUAACACGUAUCCAACCUGCCGAUGACUCGGGGAUAGCCUUUCGAAAGAAAGAUUAAUACCCGAUGGCAUAGUUCUUCCGCAUGGUAGAACUAUUAAAGAAUUUCGGUCAUCGAUGGGGAUGCGUUCCAUUAGGUUGUUGGCGGGGUAACGGCCCACCAAGCCUUCGAUGGAUAGGGGUUCUGAGAGGAAGGUCCCCCACAUUGGAACUGAGACACGGUCCAAACUCCUACGGGAGGCAGCAGUGAGGAAUAUUGGUCAAUGGACGAGAGUCUGAACCAGCCAAGUAGCGUGAAGGAUGAAGGUCCUACGGAUUGUAAACUUCUUUAUAAGGGAUAAAACCUCCCACGUGUGGGAGCUUGUAUGUACCUUAUGAUAAGCAUCGGCUAACUCCGUG
rnacentral:rRNA from 1 species